rnacentral:rRNA from 1 species
AACGUAGGUACCGAGCGUUAUCCGGAUUUACUGGGCGUAAAGCGCGUUCAGGCGGUUUGGCAAGUCGGGCAUGAAAUCUCUCGGCUCAACCGGGAGAGGUUGUCCGAUACUGCUGGACUUGAGGGCAGUAGAGGGUGGUGGAAUUCCGGGUGUAGUGGUGAAAUGCGUAGAUAUCCGGAGGAACACCAGUGGCGAAGGCGACACGCUGGGCCAUACCUGACGCUAAAGCGCGACAGCAUGGGGAGCAAACGGG